GACAGAGGGUGCAAACGUUGUUCGGAAUUACUGGGCGUAAAGCGCGUGUAGGCGGCUAUGCAAGUCGGGCGUGAAAUCCCACGGCUCAACCGUGGAAGUGCACUCGAAACUGCGUAGCUAGAGUCUCGGAGAGGAAGGUGGAAUACUUGGUGUAGAGGUGAAAUUCGUAGAUAUCAAGUGGAACACCGGUGGCGAAGGCGGCCUUCUGGACGAUGACUGACGCUGAGACGCGAAAGCGUGGGGAGCGAACAGG
rnacentral:rRNA from 1 species